AGAGUUUGAUCCUGGCUCAGGAUGAACGCUGGCGGCGUGCCUAAGGCAUGCAAGUCGAACGAGUGUAGCAAUACACAAGUGGCAAACGGGAGAGUAACACAUUGGUAACCUACCUUCGACUCAGGUACAACUCGGCGAAAGCUGAGCUAAUUCCUGAUGGUCAUGAGGGGUCAUAUGACAUUCUCAUGUAAAGUUUUUUCGGUCGAAGAGGGGCCUAUGGUCUAUCAGCUUGUUGGUGAGGUAAUGGCUCACCAAGGCUCUGACGGAUAGCGGGUGUGAGAGCAUGACCCGCCCCACUGGGACUGAGACACUGCCCAGACACCUACGGGUGGCUGCAGUUAAGAAUCUUCCCCAAUGGACGAAAGUCUGAGGGAGCGACGCCGGG
rnacentral:rRNA from 1 species